UGGGGAAUAUUGGACAAUGGGCGCAAGCCUGAUCCAGCCAUGCCGCGUGAGUGAUGAAGGCCCUAGGGUUGUAGAGCUCUUUCACCGGUGAAGAUAAUGACGGUAACCGGAGAAGAAGCCCCGGCUAACUUCGUGCCAGCAGCCGCGGUAAUACGAAGGGGGCUAGCGUUGUUCGGAUUUGCUGGGCGUAAAGCGCACGUAGGCGGACUUUUAAGUCAGGGGUGAAAUCCCGGGGCUCAACCCCGGAACUGCCUUUGAUACUGGAAGUCUUGAGUAUGGUAGAGGUGAGUGGAAUUCCGAGUGUAGAGGUGAAAUUCGUAGAUAUUCGGAGGAACACCAGUGGCGAAGGCGGCUCACUGGACCAUUACUGACGCUGAGGUGCGAAAGCGUGGGGAGCAAACAGG
rnacentral:rRNA from 1 species